rnacentral:rRNA from 1 species
CCUACGGGAGGCUGCAGUGAGGAAUAUUGGUCAAUGGACGAGAGUCUGAACCAGCCAAGUAGCGUGAAGGAUGACUGCCCUAUGGGUUGUAAACUUCUUUUAUAAAGGAAUAAAACGAGGCACGUGUGCCUUGUUGCAUGUACUUUAUGAAUAAGGAUCGGCGAACUCCGUGCCAGCAGCCGCGGUAAUACGGAGGAUCCGAGCGUUAUCCGGAUUUAUUGGGUUUAAAGGGAGCGUAGAUGGGUUGUUAAGUCAGUUGUGAAAGUUUGCGGCUCAACCGUAAAAUUGCAAUUGAUACUGGCAGUCUUGAGUACAGUUGAGGUAGGCGGAAUUCGUGGUGUAGCGGUGAAAUGCUUAGAUAUCACGAAGAACCCCGAUUGCGAAGGCAGCUUACUAAACUGUGACUGACAUUGAUGCUCGAAAGUGUGGGUAUCAAACAGGAUUAGAUACCCCGGUAGUC